CGAGCCGCGUGUGGGAAGAGGCCUUCGGGUUGUAACCACUGUCGGGAUUAGGAAAUGCAGGUGCGUUAUAGCGCACUUGCUUGACUAAGGCUCCAGAGGAAGCCACGGCUAACUCUGUGCCAGCAGCCGCGGUAAUACAGAGGCGGCAAGCGUUGUUCGGAAUUAUUGGGCGUAAAGAGCACGUAGGCGGCCUUGCAAGUCAGUUGUGAAAGCCUUCCGCUUAACGGAAGAACGGCAUCUGAUACUACAGGGCUUGAGUACGGGAGGGGAGAGUGGAACUUCUGGUGGAGCGGUGAAAUGCGUAGAUAUCAGAAGGAACGCCGGCGGCGAAGGCGACUCUCUGGUCCGAAACUGACGCUGAGUGUGCGAAAGCUAGGGGAGCAAACGGGAUUAGAUACCCCGGUAGUCCUAGCCGUAAACGAUGGGCACUAAGUAGAGGGGU
rnacentral:rRNA from 1 species